rnacentral:rRNA from 1 species
UACAGAGGGUGCAAGCGUUGUUCGGAAUUAUUGGGCGUAAAGCGCGUGUAGGCGGCUUUGCAAGUCGGGUGUGAAAGCCCUCAGCUCAACUGAGGAAGUGCGCCCGAAACUGCAGAGCUUGAGUACCGGAGAGGAUGGCGGAAUUCCCCAAGUAGAGGUGAAAUUCGUAGAUAUGGGGAGGAACACCGGUGGCGAAGGCGGCCAUCUGGACGGAUACUGACGCUGAUGCGCGAAAGCCAGGGGAGCGAACGGG